rnacentral:rRNA from 1 species
GGGCGGGGCUACCAUGCAAGUCGAACGCUGAAGCUCCAGCUUGCUGGGGUGGAUGAGUGGCGAACGGGUGAGUAACACGUGAGUAACCUUCCCUUGACUCUGGGAUAAGCCCGGGAAACUGGGUCUAAUACCGGAUAUGACCUCCUGUCGCAUGGUGGGGGGUGGAAAGAUUUAUCGGUCUUGGAUGGACUCGCGGCCUAUCAGCUUGUUGGUGAGGUAAUGGCUCACCAAGGCGACGACGGGUAGCCGGCCUGAGAGGGUGACCGGCCACACUGGGACUGAGACACGGCCCAGACUCCUACGGGAGGCAGCAGUGGGGAAUAUUGCACAAUGGGCGCAAGCCUGAUGCAGCGACGCCGCGUGAGGGAUGACGGCCUUCGGGUUGUAAACCUCUUUCAGUAGGGAAGAAGCCUUCGGGUGACGGUACCUGCAGAAGAAGCGCCGGCUAACUACGUGCCAGCAGCCGCGGUAAUACGUAGGGCGCGAGCGUUAUCCGGAAUUAUUGGGCGUAAAGAGCUCGUAGGCGGUUUGUCGCGUCUGCCGUGAAAGUCCGGGGCUUAACCCCGGAUCUGCGGUGGGUACGGGCAGACUAGAGUGCAGUAGGGGAGACCGGAAUUCCUGGUGUAGCGGUGAAAUGCGCAGAUAUCAGGAGGAACACCGAUGGCGAAGGCAGGUCUCUGGGCUGUUACUGACGCUGAGGAGCGAAAGCAUGGGGAGCGAACAGGAUUAGAUACCCUGGUAGUCCAUGCCGUAAACGUUGGGCACUAGGUGUGGGGGACAUUCCACGUUUUCCGCGCCGCAGCUAACGCAUUAAGUGCCCCGCCUGGGGAGUACGGCCGCAAGGCUAAAACUCAAAGGAAUUGACGGGGGCCCGCACAAGCGGCGGAGCAUGCGGAUUAAUUCGAUGCAACGCGAAGAACCUUACCAAGGCUUGACAUGUUCUCGAUCGCCACAGAGAUGUGGUUUCCCCUUUGGGGCGGGUUCACAGGUGGUGCAUGGGUUGUCGUCAGCUCGUGUCGUGAGAUGUUGGGGUUAAGUCCCCGCAACGAGCGCAACCCUCGUUCCAUGUUGCCAGCGGGUUAUGCCGGGGACUCAUGGGAGACUGCCGGGGUCAACUCGGAGGAAGGUGGGGACGACGUCAAAUCAUCAUGCCCCUUAUGUCUUGGGCUUCACGCAUGCUACAAUGGCCGGUACAAUGGGUUGCGAUACUGUGAGGUGGAGCUAAUCCCAAAAAGCCGGUCUCAGUUCGGAUUGGGGUCUGCAACUCGACCCCAUGAAGUCGGAGUCGCUAGUAAUCGCAGAUCACGCAACGCUGCGGUGAAUACGUUCCCGGGCCUUGUACACACCGCCCGUCAAGUCACGAAAGUCGGUAACACCCGAAGCCGGUGGCCCAACCCUUUGGGGGGGAGCCGUGGAAGGGACUGGGUC